AGUAGUUUGAUCCUGGCUCAGAUUAGACGCUGGCGGCAGGCCUAAUACAUGCAAGUCGAACGGUAACAGUAGAAAAGCUUGCUUUUCUAGCUGACGAGUGGCGGACGGGUGAGUAACAUUUGGGAAACUACCUGAUAGAGGGGGACAACAGUUGGAAACGACUGCUAAUACCGCAUAAAGCCUGAGGGUGAGAGCAGCAAUGCGCUAUCAGAUGUGCCCAAACGGGAUUAGCUAGUAGGUGAGGUAAAGGCUCACCUAGGCGACGAUCAGUAGCCGGCCUGAGAGGGCGGACGGCCACAUUGGGACUGAGACACGGCCCAGACUCC
rnacentral:rRNA from 1 species